UGGGGAAUAUUGCACAAUGGGCGCAAGCCUGAUGCAGCGACGCCGCGUGAGGGAUGACGGCCUUCGGGUUGUAAACCUCUGUUAGCAGGGAAGAAGAGAAAUUGACGGUACCUGCAGAGAAAGCGCCGGCUAACUACGUGCCAGCAGCCGCGGUAAUACGUAGGGCGCGAGCGUUGUCCGGAAUUAUUGGGCGUAAAGAGCUUGUAGGCGGUUUGUCGCGUCUGUUGUGAAAGGCCGGGGCUUAACCCCGUGUAUUGCAGUGGGUACGGGCAGACUAGAGUGCAGUAGGGGAGACUGGAACUCCUGGUGUAGCGGUGGAAUGCGCAGAUAUCAGGAAGAACACCGAUGGCGAAGGCAGGUCUCUGGGCUGUAACUGACGCUGAGAAGCGAAAGCAUGGGGAGCGAACAGGAUUAGAUACCCUGGUAGUCCAUGCCGUAAACGUUGGGCACUAGGUGUGGGGGACAUUCCACGUUUUCCGCGCCGUAGCUAACGCAUUAAGUGCCCCGCCUGGGGAGUACGGCCGCAAGGCUA
rnacentral:rRNA from 1 species